rnacentral:rRNA from 1 species
UAGGGAAUCUUCGGCAAUGGGGGGAACCCUGACCGAGCAACGCCGCGUGAGUGAAGAAGGUUUUCGGAUCGUAAAGCUCUGUUGUUAAGGAAGAACGAGUGUGAGAAUGGAAAGUUCAUACUGUGACGGUACUUAACCAGAAAGGGACGGCUAACUACGUGCCAGCAGCCGCGGUAAUACGUAGGUCCCGAGCGUUGUCCGGCUUUAUUGGGCGUAAAGCGAGCGCAGGCGGUUAGAUAAGUCUGAAGUUAAAGGCAGUGGCUCAACCAUUGUAGGCUUUGGAAACUGUUUAACUUGAGUGCAGAAGGGGAGAGUGGAAUUCCCUGUGUAGCGGUGAAAUGCGUAGAUAUAUGGAGGAACACCGGUGGCGAAAGCGGCUCUCUGGUCUGUAACUGACGCUGAGGCUCGAAAGCGUAGGGAGCGAACAGG